rnacentral:rRNA from 1 species
CGCCCAACAGCUAGCCCUUCAACAACCUCAACACACCCCUAUUAAUACCCCCUAAAUACCCCAGUAUUUACUUUAAACAAAUCAUUUUUCCCCCUUAGUAUCGGCGACAGAAAAGGGGCCCCCGGCGCAAUAGAGAAAGUACCGCAAGGGAAUGCUGAAAGAGAAAUGAAAUAACCCAGUAAAGCCCCAAAAAGCAGAGAUAAAUUCUCGUACCUUUUGCAUCAUGAUUUAGUGAGUGUCCCCCAAGCAAAGCGUACUUUAGUUUGGCCUCCCGAAACUACGUGAGCUACUUCAAGACAGCCUAUUAAUAGGGCUAACCCGUCUCUGUGGCAAAAGAGUGGGAAGAACUUUGAGUAGAGGUGACAAACCUACCGAACCUAGUUAUAGCUGGUUGUCCAAGAAAUGAAUAGAAGUUCAGCCUCUAAGCUUCUCCUUUCACCCAGGUUUAACCCCUUCGGAUGCAUAAAGAAACUAAGAGAGUUAGUCAAAGGAGGUACAGCUCCUUUGAACCAAGACACAACUUUAACAGGCGGGUAAAGAUCAUAAUAACUAAAGCUAAACAUCCUGGUGGGCCUAAAAGCAGCCAUCCCCAUAGAAAGCGUUAAAGCUCAAGCAUAUUAAUUACCCCUUCUUAUUCUGAUCAAUAAAUCUCAUCCCCCUAACUAUACUGGACCAUCCCAUGCCUCCAUGGGUGUGACUAUGCUAAUAUGAGUAAUAAGAGAGCCCUAGCCUCUCUCCCUGCACACGUGUACCUCGGAACGGACAACCCCCCGACCAUUAACGGCCCCAAAUAAAGAGGGCAUUAGACCAUAAACUAAAGACCCAGAAAAAUGUCUAAAAAUUAACCGUUAAACCUACACAGGUGUGCCCCAGGGAAAGACCUAAAGAAAGAAAAGGAACUCGGCAAACACAUUAAGCCUCGCCUGUUUACCAAAAACAUCGCCUCUUGUACCCACUAAAAUAAGAGGUCCCGCCUGCCCUGUGACUAUUAGUUUAACGGCCGCGGUAUUUUGACCGUGCGAAGGUAGCGCAAUCACUUGUCUUUUAAAUGAAGACCCGUAUGAAUGGCAUAACGAGGGCUUAGCUGUCUCCUCUUUCAAGUCAAUGAAAUUGAUCUUUCCGUGCAGAAGCGGGAAUACAAACAUAAGACGAGAAGACCCUAUGGAGCUUCAGACACUAAGACAGCUUACGUUAAACACCCCAAAAUAAAGGGAACAAACUAAACAAGCUCUGCCCUAAUGUCUUUGGUUGGGGCGACCGCGGGGAACUAAAUAACCCCCACGUGGAGCGGGAGAACUCCUCCUACAGCUAAGAGCUACAGCUCUAAUAAACAGAAAUUCUGACCAGCAAGAUCCGGCAAUGCCGAUCAACGGACCGAGUUACCCUAGGGAUAACAGCGCAAUCCUCUUUUAGAGCCCAUAUCGACAAGGGGGUUUACGACCUCGAUGUUGGAUCAGGACAUUGUUGGAUCAGGACAUCCCAAUGGUGCAGCCGCUAUUAAGGGUUCGUUUGUUCAACGAUUAAAGUCCUACGUGAUCUGAGUUCAGACCGGAGUAAUCCAGGUCAGUUUCUAUCUAUGCUAUGCUUUUUUCUAGUACGAAAGGACCGAAAAGAAGAGGCCUCUACUUAAGGCACGCCUCCCCCCUACCCAAUGAAAUCAACUAAAGUAGACAAAGGGGCAUGCCCUAACGCCUGAGAAAAAGGCA